GACGUAGGGCGCGAGCGUUGUCCGGAUUUAUUGGGCGUAAAGAGCUCGUAGGCGGCUUGUCGCGUCGUUCGUGAAAACCCGGGGCUCAACUCCGGGCUUGCGGGCGAUACGGGCAGGCUAGAGUUCGGUAGGGGAGACUGGAAUUCCUGGGUGUAGAGGUGAAAUUCGUAGAUAUCGGGAGGAACACCGGUGGCGAAGGCGGCGACCUGGGUCGAGACUGACGCUGAGGCGCGAAAGCGUGGGGAGCAAACAGG
rnacentral:rRNA from 1 species